UACGGGAGGCAGCAGUGGGGAAUAUUGCACAAUGGGCGCAAGCCUGAUGCAGCCAUGCCGCGUGUAUGAAGAAGGCCUUCGGGUUGUAAAGUACUUUCAGCAGUGAGGAAGGUGGGUAUGUUAAUAGCAUACUCAUUUAACGUUAGCUGCAGAAGAAGCACCGGCUAACUCCGUGCCAGCAGCCGCGGUAAUACGGAGGGUGCGAGCGUUAAUCGGAAUUACUGGGCGUAAAGCGCAUGCAGGUGGUUUGUUAAGUCAGAUGUGAAAGCCCGGGGCUCAACCUCGGAAUUGCAUUUGAAACUGGCAAACUAGAGUACUGUAGAGGGGGUAGAAUUUCAGGUGUAGCGGUGAAAUGCGUAGAGAUCUGAAGGAAUACCGGUGGCGAAGGCGGCCCCCUGGACAGAUACUGACACUCAGAUGCGAAAGCGUGGGGAGCAAACAGGAUUAGAUACCCUGGUAG
rnacentral:rRNA from 1 species